UAGAGUUUGAUCCUGGCUCAGGAUGAACGCUAGCGGCAGGCUUAAUACAUGCAAGUCGAGGGGCAGCAGGACUGUAGCAAUACAGUUGCUGGCGACCGGCAAACGGGUGCGGAACACGUACGCAACCUUCCUUCAAAUGGGGGAUAGCCCACCGAAAGGUGGAUUAAUACCCCGUAAAAUUUUCUGGUGGCAUCACUGGAUUAUUAUAGCUCCGGCGUUUGAAGAUGGGCGUGCGGCUGAUUAGGUAGUUGGCGGAGUAACAGCCCACCAAGCCAACGAUCAGUAACUGGUGUGAGAGCACGACCAGUCACACGGGCACUGAGACACGGGCCCGACUCCUACGGGAGGCAGCAGUAAGGAAUAUUGGUCAAUGGACGCAAGUCUGAACCAGCCAUGCCGCGUGGAGGAUGAAGGUCCUCUGGAUUGUAAACUUCUUUUAUCGGAGAAGAAACCCUUACAUUCUUGUGAGGUUGACGGUACCCGAUGAAUAAGCACCGGCUAACUCCGUGCCAGCAGCCGCGGUAAUACGGAGGGUNNNAGCGUUAUCCGGAUUCACUGGGUUUAAAGGGAGCGUAGGUGGGUUGGUAAGUCAGUGGUGAAAUCUCCGGGCUUAACUCGGAAACUGCCGUUGAUACUAUCAAUCUUGAAUAUUGUGGAGGUAAGCGGAAUAUGUCAUGUA
rnacentral:rRNA from 1 species